rnacentral:rRNA from 1 species
GAUGAACGCUGGCGGCGUGCCUAAUACAUGCAAGUCGAGCGAACGGACGAGAGGCUUGCUUCUCUGAUGUUAGCGGCGGACGGGUGAGUAACACGUGGAUAACCUACCUAUAAGACUGGGAUAACUUCGGGAAACCGGAGCUAAUACCGGAUGAUAUUUUGAACCGCAUGGUUCAAAAGUGAAAGACGGUCUUGCUGUCACUUAUAGAUGGAUCCGCGCUGCAUUAGCUAGUUGGUAAGGUAACGGCUUACCAAGGCAACGAUGCAUAGCCGACCUGAGAGGGUGAUCGGCCACACUGGAACUGAGACACGGUCCAGACUCCUACGGGAGGCAGCAGUAGGGAAUCUUCCGCAAUGGGCGAAAGCCUGACGGAGCAACGCCGCGUGAGUGAUGAAGGUCUUCGGAUCGUAAAACUCUGUUAUUAGGGAAGAACAUAUGUCUAAGUAACUGUGCACAUCUUGACGGUACCUAAUCAGAAAGCCACGGCUAACUACGUG